UGUGCAGCAGCCGCGGUAAUUCCAGCUCCAAUAGCGUAUAUUAAAGUUGUUGUGGUUAAAAAGCUCGUAGUUGGAUCUCGGCGGUCUGAGGGCGGUUCACUUGCUAGUGCUACUGCCCUAUAGACCGUAGUUUUGCCAGAGGUCUCAGGGUGCUCUUAAUCGAGUGUCUUGUGAUGCUGGCAGGUUUACUUUGAAAAAAUUAGAGUGCUCAAAGCAGGCUUUUACGCCUGAAUAUUCGUGCAUGGAAUAAUAGAAUAGGAAGUCGUUUCUAUUUUGUUGGUUUUCGGAAAUCGACUUAAUGAUUAAUAGGGACAGUCGGGGGCAUUUGUAUUCAAACGACAGAGGUGAAAUUCUUGGACCGUUUGAAGACAAACUACUGCGAAAGCAUUUGCCAAGAAUGUUUUCAUUAAUCAAGAACGAAAGUUAGAGGUUCGAAGGCGAUUAGAUACCGCCCUAGUUCUAACCAUAAACGAUGCCAGCUAGCGAUCUGCCGACGUUUUUUUUGUAGACUCGGCAGGAAGCUUCCGGGAAACCAAAGCAUUUGGGUUCCAGGGGAAGUAUGGUUGCAAAGCUGAAACUUAAAGGAAUUGACGGAAGGGCACCACCAGGAGUGGAGCCUGUGGCUUAAUUUGACUCAACACGGGAAAUCUCACCAGGCCCGGACACUGGAAGGAUUGACAGAUUGAUAGCUCUUUCUUGAUUCGGUGGGUGGUGGUGCAUGGCCGUUCUUAGUUGGUGGAGUGAUUUGUCUGGUUAAUUCCGAUAACGAACGAGACUCUGUCCUGCUAAAUAGUGUCUGCCUCUCUUUUGGGCGGACAAUUCUUCUUAGAGGGACUGGCGACUCUCAGUCGCACGAGAUUGAGCAAUAACAGGUCUGUGAUGCCCA
rnacentral:rRNA from 1 species